CGUCUGUGACCUACACCACAGCUCAUGGCAAUGCCAGAUCCUUAACCCACUGAGCCAGGCCAGGGAUCAAACCCACAACUUCAUGGUUACUACUCGGAUUUGUUUCUGCUGGGCCACAAUAGGAAUUUCAGUAGGAAGGUAUUCUUGACUGAAUCAUUUUCAUUUUAUUUCCACUUCUGUCUCCUGCAAUCUCAUCAUUCCUCUUUGGUAACUUGAGAAUCUCUUAGUUGAUUCAUUUCUCUUUCCUUAUUUUGCUUCUUUUAAAGCUACGAUCACAUUUUUCUUUUUUCUUCACUGCUGGCUGUCCUUCCUUCCUCAUCCCCCUUCAUUUAAACAUUUAAACUGUCAUAGGCUGGCAUGUUCAUCAGCACACGUGCUGGAGCUGUCCUUCCUAAGAUGAACAGUGAUGCUCUAAGCAUCACAUGGGAGGGGUGCUCUUCCUUUUGGAACCAUUUGUGGCAUUUGAUGUUGACCACGUAGUUAGUUCUUGAGGCUGUUCUUCCUUGACUCCCUUGAUGUAAUUCUCUCCCCAUUCUCCAAGCUUUCUAGCCAUUUCUCUCAGUCUGUAUCGUCUUCUUUUCCUCUGCUUUUCCUUAGAGUCCUGUUCUUUGGGUACUCUUUUAUUUACUAAAUCCUUCCUGAUGAAACUCAACUAUAUCCUUGAAAACCCUGAAAUCUGUGCAUUCCCUGGGUUCAUAGUUUUCAGUUGUCUCUCAUUUGUAGCACAGGUACCCAAAAUUAAACAUGAAAGCAAUCUUGUUACCUUUGUUAAAGCAUACAUUUUAAAAGAGGAUAUAAUUAUGACUCUCAUACAAAUACAAAAGGAACAUAUAUUUUUUAUCUCAUUAAUCAAUGAGAAAACCAGUAAGAUAUUAAAACUGGUUCAAAAGAGGAAAAAGUGCCACACACUUUACAGUCAAGAGAAGGAGUGCUGAAACGCUUGUCACACGGGUCAGUAUGACAAGGCUUAUCAAAUUGCUUUAAUUCCACUGGACAUAAUUUGUCUUUCUGUGAACAAGAAUUAUUUGCAUUACCUUGAGUUUUCCACAAGUUACUUCUUAACAAAGUUAAAACAGACUUUUCAAAGACAAGUUAAGAUGCACCCUCCCGUAGGAAGAGAUCAUCCCUGGAGGCUACAGGCAUUGAAACGACAUCCAAUCAUUUUUUUCCCUCUCCAUUUCAAAAUCUUUCACAGUUUCCCCUGCAUCUUCUCCAGACUUCCUGUCCUCUUACUUUAUUCGUAGAAUAACAACUAGAAAUGUCACUACCAUGCUCAAUCUGACUGAUUCUAGUAGGCUUUAAUAAGACCUAUUUAUUCUACUUCUUAGUCUCUCAAAAUCUUUCUCCCUCAUUCCAUUCUUUACAGUAUUAUCUGCCAUCUUCCAAAAAUAUACGUGUAUACUCAACGCUAUUAUUCUCAUACUUCAAAACAUUGUAUUUUUGAACAGCACAGACAGUAACACCCUAACACGUUAGCAUGGCACACAAGAUCUCCCGUGGUUCUUAUCCAAACCUAUCUUCCUGAUGCUCACGCUUACUACUCCUUUCUUCCUAAACGUCCUGAGUGCUUCAGCUUCACUGAAUCCAUUAUAUUCACUGACACUUCUCUAUGUUAACACUUGCCUGCAACAAAUUUUACGUCUUUCUUGCCUUUCAAGACCCAGCACUCACUUCAUGUCUUCUGGGAGCCCCAUUUUGAGUGGUCUUAGGCAGAGUUAGUAUUGUGCUUUUCUUUUUCUUUUUUUUUUUUUGUCUUUUUGCUAUUUCUUGGGCCGCUCCUGCGGCAUGUGGAGGUUCCCAGGCUAGGGGUCGAAUCGGAGCUGUAGCUGCCAGCCUAUGCCAGAGCCACAGCAACGCGGGAUCCGAGCUGCGUCUGCAACCUACACCACAGCUCACGGCAACACCGGAUCCUUAACACACUGAGCAAGGGCAGGGACCGAACCCACAACCUCAUGGUUCCUAGUCGGAUUCGUUAACCACUGCGCCACGAAGGGAACUCCUUUCUUUUUUUUUUUUUUUUUUUUUAGUAUUGUGCUUUUCUUGCUUGCUAGAUUCUUCUUCUAGAUGGGAGAGAGUUCUUGAGGCGGGACCUUAUUUGUUUCUUUAUCUUCCUUUGUGUUUAGCACAUGGCUUAAUGCCCUGCAUAACUAUUACUGAACUGAAAAUAACAAAGGUUUUUAAAAGCCCAGGUUUCUGGUAGGUAACACACAGGAACAGAUUUGGGUUUUGAGCAUGCUGAAUUUGAGAUAUGUAUGUUACAUUUAGGAAAUGUUCCGGAGAAAUCUGAAAGCAGGAGGAUGCAGGAAAAACAGAUCUGAAUGUCACUGGUAUACAGGAUGUAGGUGAUAGGACACAUCAUGGAAGUUGUGGUCACAUGCAGCCUGAGGUGAGAGGACAUGGGAGAAGACAGUUGCACGAGUGACUGGUGGGCAGGGGAGAGGAAGAGAAAUGAAAACCCAGAGCAGUUAACUCUUCCUCUAGUGGGAUGUAUUGGGCUGGAAAAAAAUUAAGAGGGCAAUUUUUUUUUUUUUUUAAGAUCAUUUGUGUGUGUGUAUUGCUCUUAAAAAUAGGAUUUAUAUAUAUACUAUAUAUUUAAAAAUGAAGAAAUUAUUACUAUAUUUUCAUAUAUUACAGAUUCUUGGCCUUUACCAUCCUAAAUGGUUUCUACUUGUGUAACAAAAAAUUUUUAAUGUGAAAGUGGCUGCAAUAUCAAAUUAUUGCACUUUAUGUUUAUUAGAAUCAAUUCAUUAUUUCUUUCAAGGGCAAGGACAUAGUAUUUUUUUGUCUCUGGGGAGGGGGUGGUGAUCAUUUUCGUAAGAGAAGGAAGGAUCCAGUGCUUUCUUUGCUUGUGGGUUUCCUCUUGUUCACUUUUGAUCUAGAUAUUGGUGGUAUGUUCCAGUCCUCCUGCAUAUGCCCAAGAGGAUUGGGAGUGGAGUGGACACCAGCAGAAGCAGCAUUUUUUCCUGUAGAGAUUAGAAACAAGGAGCUUAUUGCCCUGCUUGUCAAGGCUCAGGACAGAGAGGAGGAAGAAACAAGUAUAAAGGUUUUGGUUUUGGAAAGAAGUUGGAAUCUCCUGACCCUGGGACCUUAAGAGCCACAAAUUUGCUGAAAGAAAAAGUACUACCUUAUUGAAAGGAUGAAGAAACGCGAAAAGAUUAUGAUUACAUGCUGGAUCACCCCGAAGAGUACUACAGCCACUACUACCACUACUACAGCAGGCGCUUAGCCCCUAAAGUGGAUGUGAGGGUUGUGAUUUUGGUCAGUGUGUGCGCUAUCUCAGUGUUUCAGGUGGGUACUGAUGGAUGUGUGCAUCUCCCCGUGGCGCAGGGGUGUCCUUACAACUGAACUAGAGGCACUUUUAAGUAGAAUUUUACUUUCAGUGAAGAUGACUUUUUUUUAACAUUAGAAAAAUAUUCAUUGAUGUAACCAAUUGAUAGCUUUGGAAUCUUGGUCGGCAAAAUCUAAGAAAUAGGUCAUGAAUGUCAUUCUCUUACUACCAAAAGUAACAAAAAAACCCUGCAUCUUUUUCUCAUUGCUCCCUCUAGAGUAUUUUCCAUAUAAGAGCCAGAGUGAAUGUCCGCUAGGUCAACUCGAUUACAGGUGCCUUCAACAACAUGGGUGUGAACUGCGUGGGUUUCCCUACGGGCGGCUUGUUUUCACCACAUGCUGUGCCACACUGUGGUACUACACGGUCUGAGGUUGAUGGAAUCCAAGCAUGUGGAGGAACUGUGUGUGUGUGUGUGUGUGUGUGUGGAGGGCCGACUUCAAGUCACACUCAGAUUUGGCAGAGGGUGGGCACCCAUUUGUUGCUCCAAGAUCAACUAUGCUUUUGUAGAACUUUUCAAUGAUUUCCCAUUAAAUUUGGGGAAAAACCUGAACUCCUUAAUAUGGCCUAAUGAGUCCUGGCACCUAACCACCAAAUGCCAGGAGUGCAGUGCUUGCAUCAUUGUUACAAACAAAAACGUCUCACAAAUUUCCACAUGACAGCUAAGGGCACUCCUGCUCAGGUUGAAAACCACUGAAAUAGACUAAAAAUGCUACGGUAACUUUCUGUGUGUUUUAAAGUAUCACAAAAACAUAAGUUCAUUUUGAAAUGAGUUUUUCCUACCGUUCUUCCUAAACUGACCACACCUGUCAUAUCUUUCUGUAGAGGAAAAAAAGUCAAAUGAUGAGAGUGAAGCAAUUUGCUAGUUUGAAAAUUACUUCUCCAGUUUAAUUCUCAGAAUUGAAAUUCAAUUUAUAUGACAAAUUCCUAUUGAAAACCAAGGCUGUAUAUUUUUAAAUGUAUUGGCUUUUGUAGUGUUGCCCUACAGUUCCUCCUCCCCCUUUUUUUUUCUAUGCCUAAUAGAUUGCUACUAUAAUAUUUCAGGAUAUUAAUGGUGUUAUUGCUAUAUUCAUACAGUAAAAUUCAUCUGAAAUGUGUGGAGGUACUAUAUAAGGAAUAGAACUCCUUCUGAUAAUAAAGGGUUGAAUAUAUUGAAGUGAAUUAAUGUUUUCCUGUCCAAAUAAAUAGAAUCCAAACAUACUUGAAUCUUUCAGUUAAAAAUAUGAUGUGCAUUUCUGUGUAGAUGGUUUAGGAAAGAGAUAUAGUUGCCCAAGUCUAUACUCUGAUUUUUGUGAAAGAAAUUCCUCACCAGCUAGUUCUGCCAUUUAAUUCUUCCUCCAGUAAGUAGAUUGCAAUCUUAAAAAAGAAGAAGAAGAAGAAGAGAUUUCUUAAUUCUGAUCUAGGGAAGAGCCAAAUUGUAAAGAUGUGAAGUUGUCAGGUGUGGUGUAAUUCCCUCCAUCCUCUGAUCCUGAGUGUCUCCUGACUGAGUCAGGGCUUUUUGGCUCAGCUCAGGGCUUAUCCAACUUAAUCCAUCCUGGAAAUCCCAUGUCCACCUGGGCAUCAUUCAAUUAUAUCUAUCUAUCUAUCUAUCUAUCUAUCUAUCUAUCUAUCUAUCUAUCUAUCUUUCUUUCUUUCUUUCUCUCUCUCUCUCUCUCUUUCUUUCUCUCUCUCUCUCUCCCUCUCUCUCUCUCUCUCUUUCUUUCUUUUUUUUUUUUUUUUUGUCUUUUUGCCAUUUCUUGGACCGCUCCCGCGGCAUAUGGAGGUUCCCAGGCUAGGGGUCCAAUCGAAGCCACAGCCACCAGUCUACGCCACAGCCAUAGCAGCGCCGGAUCCGAGCAGCAUCUGCAACCUACACCACAGCUCAUGGCAACACCAGAUCGUCAACCCAUUGAGCAAGGGCAGGGAUCGAACCCUCAACCUCAUGGUUCCUAGUCAGAUUCGUUAACCACUGCGCCACGACGGGAACUCCCAUUCAAUUAUAUCUUUAACUUAGAAUAAAAUUGUUGAGCUCCCUGUUUUGAAUCAGAAUGGAUUUUUGGGGAGGGGAUAGUGUUCACCACGGUGAAUUUUGGUAAUAAAAGUGACCUUUUUUUCUUUGUUAAAUAUUCUAGUUUUUCAGCUGGUGGAAUACCUAUGACAAGGCAAUCAGCUACCUGGCCACGGUGCCCAAGUACCGCAUCCAAGCCAUGGAGAUUGCCAAGCAGCAGGGAUUGCUCAGGAAAGCCAAAGAGAAGGGCAGAAACAAAAAGUCCAAAGAGGAAAUUCGUGACGAGGAGGAAAACAUCAUAAAGAACAUUAUAAAAAGUAAAAUAGAUAUAAAGGGGGGCUGUCAGAAACCCCAGAUACGUGACCUUCUCCUGUUUCAAAUCCUCUUAGCUCCUUUUCAUCUGUGCUCAUACAUAGUCUGGUAUUGCCGAUGGAUCUAUAAAUUUAACAUCAAAGGCAAAGAAUAUGGGGAAGAAGAAAGACUAUAUAUCAUACGUAAAUCUAUGAAGAUGUCACAGUCUCAGUUUGAUAGUCUAGAAGACCAUCAGAAAGAAACUUUUCUUAAACGGGAGCUUUGGAUAAAGGAGAAUUAUGAGGUCUACAAAGAGGAACAAAAAGAAGAACUAAAGAAAAAAUUGGCAAAUGACCCUAGAUGGAAGAGAUAUAGGAGAUGGAUGAAGAAUGAAGGGCCUGGACGGCUAACAUUUGUGGAUGACUGAAGAUUGCUGGAAUGCGACUCUGCCAGACCUUAUGUGAUAUUAUUUUGAUAACGGAAUUAUUUUAGAAAUGUGUGGACUGCUCCUCAGCAGUAACUAAAAUUCCUCAAGUAUUUGAUUAAACAGAAUAAUGUAGAAAUUCCCUUAACACUUUAUACAUAAGACAUUUAUGAUCAAUUUUUAUAAUCGAUUUGUGGAUUUUGUUAAAAGAUUUGAC